rnacentral:rRNA from 1 species
GUGGUUAUCGGGUUUAGAAACUGAUAACUAAGGAGCAAUUCGCUUUGGGAGGGACCUGCGUCCCAUCAGCUAGUUGGUGAGGUACGGCUCACCAAGGCUACGACGGGUAGGGGACCUGAGACGGGUGACCCCCCCACAAUGGAACUGAAACACGGUCCAUACACCUACGGGUGGCAGCAGUAGGGAAUAUUGCACAAUGGGCGAAAGCCUGAUGCAGCAACGCCGCGUGUGCGAUGAAGGCCUUCGGGUCGUAAAGCACUUUUCUGAGAGAUGAGCAAGGACAGUAUCUCAGGAAUAAGUCUCGGCUAACUACGUGCCAGCAGCCGCGGUAAAACGUAGGAGGCGAGCGUUAUCCGGAUUCACUGGGCGUAAAGCGCGUGCAGGCGGUUCGGUAAGUUGGGUAUGAAAUCUCCUGGCUUAACUAGGAGAGGUUAUCCAAUACUACCGGACUUGAGAGUGGUAGAGGAAGAUGGAAUUCCCGGUGUAGUGGUGAAAUGCGUAGAUAUCGGGAGGAACACCAGUG